CGUGGUUGCAACGGAAGAAAAAUUGACACGUAUUCAAUUUUUUUGAGAAUUGUAUGUGCAUCAAAAUUUUGAUUCCAGUUUCUGCACAUGUCAUAUUUUGGUAUUUGCUUUGCCCGUUAAUUAUUGUUAGGCCGGAAGUAAUUUAAUAUGCAAGUGCAUGUUAAUCCAAGGGCGCUACCAAUUAUUAUUGCAUGCACAUCAGGAUGUAAAAUCGGUGCCAGCAAAAUACACCUCUGUCGGUUCUGCCCUGGUUUGGCCGGUAUCUUUCCUUCCUCCUUGUUGUGGAGUGCACCCGAUCUGAUUCUAAUAAUCCUCCCCUGCUCAUGUGGCUCGUUUGGUCAGCGUGGUCGCCGCGUGUGAAGUCUGGUGGCUUCGUGUGACAUCCCGAGCAGUGCUUAGCGACGCGUGCACGUACUGUCUGGUGUGCUUACACGUGGUCUAUUUUUAUCCUUUGUAAAAGCCUGAAUCUUCAUCUCGUUUUCAGUUUCCCUUGCACAAAAUAGUCUCCCAUAUACCAGGCGCCCGAGCAGCGAGAGUGCUCGCAGGAGCUCGAACCCGACCCCCCGCACGGAGAUCUGAAGCAGCAGCAGGACCUCGCCGGACGUAGCAGCUGCACCACAAGUCCAAACAAUGGCGCCGCCCUCAUGAAACAUGGAAGCAGAGGCUAACCCUUGCGGCGGCGGCGGCGUGUCUUUCCAGUGCUCCCCCUUGCGGCCUUCCCAGACUUGGUGUUCGCUUGGUGUUGGUGGACAGUCGAGGAGGACCAUCUCCCGCACUGGCCUCCCCUGGACGCGCGCAGCCGGCGGCUCCGUCGGGUUCAGCGGUGGUCGCGACUCACGAGGCGACUCGAGCAGCAGCUCGAACGCACACAGUGCCUCCCCGUCGGCCCGGUACGCCGCCCGAGCGGGAGGCACCAGCGGACCGGAGAGUCGAGUAGUAGCACGCCCCAGCGGCAGCACUGGGCGGCAGCAGCCUCAUGCCUAGGAUAGGGGCACACGGCAGGUGCGGCGCAGCUGCAAUUCAGGGGCGGUAGCAGUUCUCGGCCGCAUCCAUGGCAGCCGCCGUGGCGUGCUCCUACUCGCGCGGCUGGUCCAUGGCUGUCGGCGCAUCGCAGGACAGGGACGACAGCAGUUCUAGGACGCAUCCAUGGCCGACGGCGCGCGGCAGGGCGGGAGCGGCAGGGCGGGGGCGGCAGGGCGGCGUGCUCCUACUGGUGCUGCCGAUGCGGGCAAGGGAAGAGAGGAAUCAGGAGAGGUGCUCACGGGCGGCGCAAAUCGUCUCCUCGGUGGCCAAGGGGCUCGCCGGGGCGGAAGGGAAGGCCGGCUGCAGGGCGAACUAGUAGGGGGCGCCGAGGGGAUCCGUUCCCGUGAGCGGCAUCCCGAGGAAGGCGCUGGAGUUGGCCAGAAUCGGGCGGUCAAUGGAAGGACGGGGGGCGCCGCCAUUGAAGCGAGGGGAUCGAAGGUCGAGGAGGCCCUCCGUGUAGGAUCUAGGACCAUCGCGGACGCUGCGGCGGCGCGCCCAAGCUCGGGCGCACCACUACAGGGCGGAGGGCCGGCGAGGGCCAGGCGGCGGGAGGAACGGCGGGGAGAGCACGAGUAAGUCCUGCGCCGCCGCGACUGGAGACGGAGCAGGGGUUAAUUUGUAAAACCGAAUCGUUUAUUUAGAUAUCACUUAAAGAGGGACUGCGGGUAUAAUUUUCAGAAAACGGAAGGAUGUUUUUG